rnacentral:rRNA from 1 species
GAUGAACACUAGCGGCAGGCUUAAUACAUGCAAGUCGAGGGGCAGCGCGAGUAGCAAUACUUGGCGGCGACCGGCGCACGGGUGCGUAACACGUAUACAAUCUACCUUUAACUGGGGAAUAGCCCCGAGAAAUCGGGAUUAAUACCCCAUAACAUUGCGAGGAGGCAUCUUCUAGCAAUUAAAGCUCCGACGGUUAAAGAUGAGUAUGCGCGACAUUAGUUUGUUGGUGAGGUAACGGCUCACCAAGACUACGAUGUCUAUGGGUUAUGAGAGGAUUACCCCGCACACUGGUACUGAGACACGGACCAGACUCCUUCGUGAGGCAGCAGUAGGGAAUAUUGGGCAAUGGACGCAAGUCUGAUCCAGCCAUGCCACGUGAAGGAUUGACUGCCCUCGUGGUUGUAAACAUCUUUUGUACGGGAAAAAACCCCUGAUCGUGUAUCAGGGCUGAUGGUACCGUAAGAAUAAGGAUCGGCUAACUCCGUGCCAGCCGCCGCAGUAACAC